rnacentral:tRNA from 1 species
GGAUUGUGGCUCAGUGGUAGAGCACUUGCCUAGGAUGCAUGAGGCACUGGGUUCGAUCCCCUGCACCA